CCAUCCUUCGGGAUGUGGCAUUAAACAAAACGCUUUAAUAUACAGAGAAGAUUAGCAUGGUCCCUGUGCAAGGAUGACAACCAAUUGCAUAAUCGAAGAGAAGCAAAAACUUUUU
rnacentral:snRNA from 1 species